AUACGGAGGGUGCAAGCGUUACUCGGAAUCACUGGGCGUAAAGCGCGCGCAGGCGGCUUGGUAAGUUGGAUGUGAAAGCCUACGGCUCAACCGUAGAACUGCAUCCAAAACUGUCAGGCUAGAGUGUGGGAGAGGAAGAUGGAAUUAGUUGUGUAGGGGUAAAAUCCGUAGAGAUAACUAGGAAUACCAAAAGCGAAGGCAAUCUUCUGGAACACUACUGACGCUGAGGCGCGAAGGCGUGGGGAGCAAACAGGAUUAGAAACCCCAGUAGUCC
rnacentral:rRNA from 1 species